UGCCAGCAGCCGCGGUAAUACGGAGGGUGCGAGCGUUAAUCGGAAUUACUGGGCGUAAAGAGUACGUAGGCGGCUUUAUAAGUCGGGUGUGAAAGCCCUGAGCUUAACUCAGGAACUGCAUUCGAUACUGUAUCGCUAGAGUUUAUUAGAGGAUAGCGGAAUUCCAGGUGUAGCGGUGAAAUGCGUAGAUAUCUGGAGGAACACCAAUGGCGAAGGCAGCUAUCUGGGAUACAACUGACGCUGAGGUACGAAAGCAUGGGUAGCGAAGAGGAUUAGAUA
rnacentral:rRNA from 1 species